AUACGUAGGGGGCGAGCGUUGUCCGGAGUUACUGGGCGUAAAGAGCGUGUAGGCGGUUGGACAAGUCAGGUGUGAAAUUUCUCGGCUCAACCGGGAGACUGCGCCUGAAACUUUUCGACUGGAGUUCGGGAGGGGCAAUCGGAAUUCCUGGUGUAACGGUGAAAUGUGUAGAUAUCAGGAGGAACACCGGUGGCGAAGGCGGAUUGCUGGACCGAAACUGACGCUGAGACGCGAGAGCGUGGGUAGCAAACAGGAUUAGAUACCCUGGUAGUCCACGCUGUAAACGAUGAGUGCUAGGUGUAGGGGGUAUCGACUCCUUCUGUGCCGCAGUUAACGCAUUAAGCACUCCGCCUGGGGAGUACGGCCGCAAGGUUAAA
rnacentral:rRNA from 1 species